CAGUAGCCGCGGUAAUACGUAGGUGGCAAGCGUUAUCCGGAAUUAUUGGGCGUAAAGCGCGCGUAGGCGGUUUUUUAAGUCUGAUGUGAAAGCCCACGGCUCAACCGUGGAGGGUCAUUGGAAACUGGAAAACUUGAGUGCAGAAGAGGAAAGUGGAAUUCCAUGUGUAGCGGUGAAAUGCGCAGAGAUAUGGAGGAACACCAGUGGCGAAGGCGACUUUCUGGUCUGUAACUGACGCUGAUGUGCGAAAGUGUGGGGAUCAAACAGGAUUAGAUACCCCCGUAGUCCCUGUCUCUUAUAC
rnacentral:rRNA from 1 species